rnacentral:tRNA from 1 species
CCCUGGUUAGGUCAAUUGGUAGAGCGCUCCACCUGUAAUGGAGAGGUCCCGGGUUCGAUACCCGGACCAGGCG